CGUGUUUCUGGUGCAGGUAGCCAGUGAACUGAGCGAAGAUCAGCGCAAGGUUUCUUGUAGGCCUAUGUGGACAGGAGGAGCCGCUGCUGGCCUUUAGGACUGGAAAGUAUGCGGUCUGUGGCCACAAUCCCACCUCUUAGCCUGGGAACGGAAGCAGGGAGUCGCGAGGGAAAACAAGCAGACAAUCAGAAAUAGAGCUAGUGCUCCUCCUUAUGCUGGGUGUGACAGUCCUGCCUUUCAGACUGGAAACAAUGUGAAGCAGCACCUUCGUCAUGUAAAGCAGCACCUCUGUGUCCCCUGCCAUAAUGGCUUCUUCUGCUCAACCGCCAGCCUCUCUAGAGUGCAGUAAGGAAGGGGGGGAUACAGUGCGCCUCUGCCUGAGAGGACACUAUGCGCUGGAAUAUGGGGACAGGAAGUGGCUUUCACGGUGUAGGAAUUCUCAGACGGCGGGGGUCUGCUAGGAAAAGUUGACGUUUUUGGAAAGCCAAAGAUGUUAUGAUGUGCCAUGGACAGCAUGC
rnacentral:lncRNA from 1 species